rnacentral:rRNA from 1 species
GCUAGCUACAGGCUUAACACAUGCAAGUCGAGGGGCAGCAUGGUCUUAGCUUGCUAAGGCCGAUGGCGACCGGCGCACGGGUGAGUAACACGUAUCCAACCUGCCGUCUACUCUUGGACAGCCUUCUGAAAGGAAGAUUAAUACAAGAUGGCAUCAUGAGUCCGCAUGUUCACAUGAUUAAAGGUAUUCCGGUAGACGAUGGGGAUGCGUUCCAUUAGAUAGUAGGCGGGGUAACGGCCCACCUAGUCUUCGAUGGAUAGGGGUUCUGAGAGGAAGGUCCCCCACAUUGGAACUGAGACACGGUCCAAACUCCUACGGGAGGCAGCAGUGAGGAAUAUUGGUCAAUGGGCGAGAGCCUGAACCAGCCAAGUAGCGUGAAGGAUGACUGCCCUAUGGGUUGUAAACUUCUUUUAUAAAGGAAUAAAGUCGGGUAUGGAUACCCGUUUGCAUGUACUUUAUGAAUAAGGAUCGGCUAACUCCGUGCCAGCAGCCGCGGUAAUACGGAGGAUCCGAGCGUUAUCCGGAUUUAUUGGGUUUAAAGGGAGCGUAGAUGGAUGUUUAAGUCAGUUGUGAAAGUUUGCGGCUCAACCGUAAAAUUGCAGUUGAUACUGGAUAUCUUGAGUGCAGUUGAGGCAGGCGGAAUUCGUGGUGUAGCGGUGAAAUGCUUAGAUAUCACGAAGAACUCCGAUUGUGAAGGCAGCCUGCUAAGCUGCAACUGACAUUGAGGCUCGAAAGUGUGGGUAUCAAACAGGAUUAGAUACCCUGGUAGUCCACACGGUAAACGAUGAAUACUCGCUGUUUGCGAUAUACUGCAAGCGGCCAAGCGAAAGCGUUAAGUAUUCCACCUGGGGAGUACGCCGGCAACGGUGAAACUCAAAGGAAUUGACGGGGGCCCGCACAAGCGGAGGAACAUGUGGUUUAAUUCGAUGAUACGCGAGGAACCUUACCCGGGCUUAAAUUGCAGAUGAAUUACGGUGAAAGCCGUAAGCCGCAAGGCAUCUGUGAAGGUGCUGCAUGGUUGUCGUCAGCUCGUGCCGUGAGGUGUCGGCUUAAGUGCCAUAACGAGCGCAACCCUUGUUGUCAGUUACUAACAGGUUCCGCUGAGGACUCUGACAAGACUGCCAUCGUAAGAUGUGAGGAAGGUGGGGAUGACGUCAAAUCAGCACGGCCCUUACGUCCGGGGCUACACACGUGUUACAAUGGGGGGUACAGAGGGCCGCUACCACGCGAGUGGAUGCCAAUCCCCAAAACCUCUCUCAGUUCGGACUGGAGUCUGCAACCCGACUCCACGAAGCUGGAUUCGCUAGUAAUCGCGCAUCAGCCACGGCGCGGUGAAUACGUUCCCGGGCCUUGUACACACCGCCCGUCAAGCCAUGGGAGCCGGGGGUACCUGAAGUGCGUAACCGCGAGGAGCGCCCUAGGGUAAAACUGGUGACUGGGGUU